CAGCCCUAUCGAGAGCACUUAGCCCAGCUUUAUAUAGUUUGAUGGCUCAUACACGGAUUCUUUUUAUCCUAAUCUAUUAGGAAUCCUUUUUACAAGAUUUCUACUAAACCGGCCUAGGGGGCCGACUUGGACACUAAGUCGUCCCUAUCCUUAGCUCGGCCUGAGGUUAUCCGGCUAGUAUAUCCUCGAUAGUAUAUCCUCGAAACCUCAGAACUAACAAAUGGCCAACGCCACAGCUCUCCUGAUCUUCCUCCUGGCCGCCCUUCUUCUCUGCCACCCAGGCAAUGCCCAGCAGCCAUCGUCGUCCUGCGGCAAGUCCGACAUAUCCGUGACGGCGGCGGCGGCGGGGAACGUGGUCCGGGGCCAGCGGGAGUACGUGGCGACGAUCAGGACGUCGUGCGCGUGCCCGCUCAAGGACGUGCGCGUGUGGUGCGGCGGCGUCGAGGACAGCGCCGUGCCGCUGGACGCCGGCGUCGUGGAGGUGGACGAAGGGAUGUGCGUCCUCAAGCGGCCCGUCUCCAAGGGAUCGCCGGCCGUCUUCAAGUACUCGUCGGCGGUGCCCGUCAACUUCCGCGUCUUCAACGCUGCCCCGGCUUGCUGAUUGAUUGAUUGAUAAAUAAAGCGCGAGGAUCGAUCGACCAGAGAAGAGCUCUUUCCUGUGGCAGGAAAUAUAUAAAGUUGCAUUAGGCGUCGCAUGGCAUGCAACAUGGUGGUUUGGAUCGGAUUGUUGGAUCUAUGCAUUCUCUGUUAGCAAAUGUGAGAUGCGCGCAACAAGUUCUUCUCUGAGUAGCAUGCACCAGAUGAUCUCAUAUAUCGAGAUUUUUUAUCGAGCUCUUCUCUGGUACCCUGAAAUCGAUACGGGCCGUCCGUUUCCGUCAAUCUAAGGGUCCAGAUCGAUCUAUACCGUUUCUCACAAGGUCAGCAGUAUAUUGCAUCGCCGGAUCAAAUAGAGGGGUAUUUUCGGAACACUCGUUUCCGCACGGCCCAAUAGGUGAGAAACUGGGCCGACGCUUCCUCUCCUACCCGUCGUCCCCGCGCGGCCGCGCCCCCUCUCCCCCGAUCCCACCACCGCCGGUGCGGCCGCGCCCACCCAGCGACCUAGGCCGCCCCCUGCUCCGGCGCCGAAGGCCGGCACGCCUACUUUCGGUACUCGAUGCGUCCGUCGCCGCGGCCCCCACCCCGGCACUCAAGGCCGCCAAGCUGUCCGUCGAGGUACCCAUUGCCACGCCUCCCGCCCCCAUUGCAGAGGCCCCAAGGGCUAAGGACCAGCGGCGCUGCGCCGUAGACGGAAAGGAUCGCAGCUAAAAACUCACGGUUGCGGCUGCGCGCUGGAGUGUCCAGUGGUGCGUGCGGCGAUGGCGGUGCUCGGCAGCGCUCGGUGGCCCGAGCCUCGCGACGGCCAGCGGCGGCGCGUCCCGGCAAGCAGCGGCAGCACGGCUGUGUUGGCGUCAUCGCAGCGUGAUCACCAUUACGGUUAGUAGAGAUUCACGGAGUAUUUCAGAUGAAACCAAGAACGUCAUCAAACAUUGGAUCAGAUCGACAAAAUUGGCAUAGACAGGCCACAAAAGUAUGAGGCUCCGAUGCUACACAUAACACAUGGCAGCUUCUGAAAUUUAGUCCCUCUGGGUGAGGAAUUCAUAUUCAAGAACAUUUUCAGUAAUAACCUAACCUUGUGUAUUUACAAAAUCAGAUGUACUACCAAUGUCAACAGAAGGUGGUUGUGAUCUGCCUGUGUUACAAACUUACAAUGCUCUUGCCAUAAGUCUGCAGCCCGCGCUAUGUAUUACACCGACAAUAAGACAUGCUGAUGGUUUCUACAAUGCAACAUGCCUAUGGGUUGUAGUUUCUCGAUCAGGUAUUCAGGGAGGACCUUCUUAAUAACUAUGCAGAGGAGAUGGUCAAUUACUGCACAAGGCUUCAAACAGUAGUUUCCAUGAAACGUUGGCUUCCACCGUCGACCUUCUGAAAGAGAAGGAACCACUAAUUUGACAAUUAGAGAAGCAACUUGACUCUCUAUGUUGUCACGCAAACGUUCAAGAGAAGAGGUGUAAAUGUAGGAAAUACGCAACACUUUUCUGGUUCAUGCUAAUCAUGUAUGUUGCUAGAAUAUUAAUCCCCACUGUGCCAAUUUCAUGUAUCAGACAAUACAAUACUUGAGGGAAUUUUAUCAUAAAUCUAUGCUUUAGAUGUGAUUCA